rnacentral:rRNA from 1 species
GAUGAACGCUGGCGGCGUGCCUAAUACAUGCAAGUCGAGCGAACAGAUGAGGAGCUUGCUCCUCUGACGUUAGCGGCGGACGGGUGAGUAACACGUGGAUAACCUACCUAUAAGACUGGGAUAACUUCGGGAAACCGGAGCUAAUACCGGAUAAUAUAUUGAACCGCAUGGUUCAAUAGUGAAAGACGGUUUUGCUGUCACUUAUAGAUGGAUCCGCGCCGCAUUAGCUAGUUGGUAAGGUAACGGCUUACCAAGGCAACGAUGCGUAGCCGACCUGAGAGGGUGAUCGGCCACACUGGAACUGAAACACGGUCCAGACUCCUACGGGAGGCAGCAGUAGGGAAUCUUCCGCAAUGGGCGAAAGCCUGACGCAGCAACGCCGCGUGAGUGAUGAAGGUCUUCGGAUCGUAAAACUCUGUUAUUAGGGAAGAACAAAUGUGUAAGUAACUAUGCACGUCUUGACGGUACCUAAUCAGAAAGCCACGGCUAACUACGUG